AUCAGGGUUAGUAUUGGUAUAUCAGGGUUAGUGUUGGUAUAUCAGGGUUAGUGUUGGUAUAUCAGGGUUAGUGUUGGUAUAUCAGGGUUAGUGUUGGUAUAUCAGGGUUAGUGUUGGUAUAUCAG